ensembl:lncRNA
GGGCAUCAUAGUAUUUGUACUAACUGCUUCACAGGAUUGUUAUGGGGAUUAAAUAAGAGAAUGUAUGUGAAAGCAUUUUGAAAGCUAGGAAACAGAUUCCCCAAACUUUAGUAAAUCUAUUUUGAAUUUGUGACUUCCUUGAUUUGAAUAUUCCCUUCAGAUCACAAUCUUUUCAUACCUGCCUGUUUUAUGUGACUGUUAACCAUGUCUUUAUCUACUCAAGCCAAGGUUCCACUGGCCAUGCUGGGGGCUUAUCUCGCAUUCCAUUCACGUUGCAUGGAAACCAGUGUUGUAGCACACAAGACUGUUCAUAGGCUGUCCCUCAUGUAACAAUCCUAAUUCAUAUGGAGGAUUAAGUUUUUAAGAAUGAAACUUGGAGAAUAUAUGAAAAGUAGUAAAGUUCUGUGUGGAUUUUCAUAACAGGAUUCCUAAUCCACAAAUAACAAGCUUUAAAUUUCAGUAUAUUUCUUGUUCACCUUUCUCAGCUGUUAGAUGGUUUGUGUUCACUAUGGCUACAAAUUCCUUUUGGUAUUAUCAUUAAUAUCAAAUCGGGAAAGCAAAUCUGCAAUGAAGAAAAAUAAAAUGUUUAUAAAGAGAAUAGAAAUGUUUUGUUCUUUAUACAUUUUGGGUUGAUCUAUGUUCUUUUAAGAAAUAACUUUACCUGAACAUAUUUAGAAUAUAUAUCCAUUUCUUAUAAUGAACAAUUUUGUAUCUUUUAUGGAACACAACAUUACUUCCUCCAUUUCAUCUACUUUUUUGUUCUUAAGAGAAUUUAUAAAAAAAUCCACAGUUUCACGACUUAAGUUUUAAAAAUUUUAUUGCAUUGACCAAAGUUUCACAUUUUUCCUCUUAAGUACAUUAAUCUUCAAAUUGUUAAAAAGCUUAUUUUGUUUUCAAAAAAAAGUUGCAAAGUCUACAAUCAAUUGCAUAUAAAAAUGGGUCACAAAUCAUACCCUUAAAAACAAAGUCAUUAAAAAUGUAAAAUAGCAAAUAUUAAACUACAGAGCAUCGUAGGAUCAAAUUCAGCAUAUAAUUCAAGCACAGAGUUCUAUAUUUAAACAACAAUUAUGUCCAAAAUAGCAUCCUAUAUAGGCAGUGAGAAAAGUAGGGAUGCAUCGCUGUAACACAUACCUGUAAUAUUAGUAUUUGGUGACUUCCUAUGGACAAAUUUUCCUACUAAUUUCAAGAUAUGUAGAAUAAAACAAAUUCUCAGAUAUUACAAAACAAGGCAAUAACAUAAAAACUUUGCAUUAUACAAGAAGUCUAAAAUAAACACUUAAAGUCAAAACUAUUUUCUUUUUGAAUAAUACUGCAGGGUUCUGUUCAUCCUAGCUCUAAUCUUUGAGUUGAAAAGGCAUAAUUACAAAAAUACACUUUCAUCUAAGCCUGUUCUAUGCAAAAGUUACACAUUAGAGGCUGUAAUGUUUGGUCUCAUUAGCAUCCUUAGGUUGAGAAGUUCUUUUUUCCUUUCAGAUACAACCUAGUAGUAAUAGUAAUUAUAUUAACUAGUUAAGUUUAAACAUGAGGGCACAACCUUGCACAGUGCUUAGUAUAGCACAGAGUAGGUCCUUAAUAAAUGCUUAUUGGCUGAUCCCCAAAGUUUAUGACACAACCCAAUGAAUUAGACUGACAGCAACAAUUGUCAGUGGGAGUGAAACAACCAGCAACAGUUCUUUGUCAUCACUAACUUGAGAGUACUUGGAGGUACUGCUGACCAUUCUUCUUAACUCAAUGCAGUUACAAUUAAUCAAAGGGUGAAAGGACAGAUGGCAAAUGACUAUCAAUGGGAACUUAGAUAUAAUAAUUCAAAUAUACCUCCAGGCCCAGGGGUAAAACAUAUUUGUCCAAGUUUUGGGAAUGAGUACUAAAGUAUUUUUUCUUCCUUCUUGAAAAUAUUUUUUUAAAGAGAUAUAGAAUGAUAAGGAAAUCAUUUCAUAAACACACAGCUACCUUUUUUCAGCUUUAGUUUCACUAAAGUACUUAAUUUGUACCCAAAGUGUGCAAAGUUUAGUUGGUAUACUGCCAAAAGGCUUUUUUCUUGAUAAUCAUUCCAGUAUAAUUUGACUACAAAGAAAGACCAUGCACUGCUUUUUAAAAUGUUCAUGUAGUGAUUCUGUAUCUGAAGUUGAAAACCAAUGAAAAUUAUGUUUUAUAUGUAUACAUAUAUGUAACACAAUACAUAAAACAGGUAAUAUGCUUUGUGCUGAACCUUCUCAAGUCUAACAGGUGGGAAUAUACAAUAUAAUAUAAUACAAUACACAAAGAUACACUUAGAAUGGUAUUUUGAGCUUCACAUGCUUAAUUCUAUAAUACAUAAAAGUAAAACAUUUUAAAAGGAACAUUAAGUUCAGCACCAAAUGUAAUCUAAUCUUUCUUUGGUGAAAAAAGUUGAGCAUUCGUAACCCAAGCGCACAGUGAGAACAUGACCUAUAGGGCUGUUUUUCUGUUUUUGUCAAGAAAUCCUUUAGUAAAAUAUAAUACUAAUAAUAAACGUUGGUUCCCUGAAAUAAAUUGAUACCAACUUAGUUGUUAUUAGAUAGUCAUUUGGAUCUAUCACUGACAAAUUAGCACAUGUACAAGAGGAAUUUUUUAAAGUCAGGAAAAGUAUAUAAUAAAAUUUUUGUUUAAAUACUUCCACACAUUAACAUUUGAUAGAAACCCUCUUUAUAUCCUAUCACCUAAAAAUCACUAAUUAUAUACUCAGAUAUUUGUACAGAACUAAUUUGAUUUUAAACAGAUUUUAGUAGUCAUUUUCAGCAAAAUAUGUUCUUAUUGAAGUUCAGUACUUUAAAGAAACCUUUAUUUUACUUAUCCCAUUCAUAGUGAAAGAUGAGAGGAAUUCUUUAAUUGGAUUGAGUAAUGGUAAUUCCCACCAUCUCCACAAAUGCAACAUGUUUACCAAUAGUAUUUUUUUUAAAGGCACCAGGAAUAAAAAACUUUCUUUGCCAUGAUUCCUGGCCCAUCUAGGAAAGGGAUGUUUGUUUCCCAAAGGGAUACUCCAAAAUGAUCAAUAAGGCACAACCAUGGUCAUUUACUUUCUAUUUUCCUAGCAGAAGUAUAGCCUGGCACUAAAAAUCUUCUCAUUGGCAAUACAUUUUUAUAAAUGAGUCAUUACUAUGUUAUAUUCAUUGAUUAGCUCUCUUCUUCAUUUAAUUUCAAAGGACAUAGUAGUUGCUUGCCCCUAUUUUCAUUGCCAAAAUGGCUCAAUUCACUAACACUCAUAAAACAUAGGGUAUUGACAAAAUGUGAAACUCUUUUACUCUCUUAUACUGAAGUCAAAUUUAUGAAAUAACAUCAGCUUGAUUCUGUAAGCUGAGGUAGUCAAUAAUGAUUGUCCAUGAUUAUAUGCUAAGAAAAGGUUAUAUUACCUUUACAUUUAAGUCCAGAUGGCUUUCUAAAUUGGUUAGAAAUAGCAUUCUAAUGCACUAGUUCUAAUCUUUCGAAAUGAAGGAAAUCUACACUCUUUUCUAAUGUUAGUUUUUUUAAAAAGAGGAAUAUCUCCAGAGGUGUGGUAACAGAAACUAUAAAAGGGGAAAUGUUAAAAUUCCUUGAUGAGAUGUAUUUCUACUACCAAAAAAGCAUAUAUAUAUAUACACAAAUAUAUAAAGAGAAAAAUUACGAUGUUUUUUGCAAAAAACAAACCUUAUAUUUUAUUUUAUUUUAUUUUUUUGCUGAGGCAUUUGGGAUUAAGUGACUUGCCCAGGGUCACGCAGCAAGGAAGUGUUAAGUGUCUGAGACUAGAUUUGAACUCAGGUCGCACCACCUAGCUGUUCCUGUAUUUUAUUUUCUAACAACUAACUUUUAAAUCAGAAUUGCACAACAAAAGUGUGACUGAAUAUUUUUAUGGAUUAUUUAUUUUCACAGGAAGAGUUGACUAACAUCGUAUGAUUAUGCGAUUUGAAUGGCAGCAGUGAAAAUAAUUAUGAACAUUCCCUUUUGUUGAUGAAAAGUAAAAGACAAAAAAACUUAAGUUUCCUAUAAAACAUUAGCCUCUAAUAUUCAUGAAAUGCCAAGGUAUGUGCAAUAUUUUGGCCAGAAGUGAGUACAAAUAUAAUAAUUGAAAAUCAAAUAGUCCCAAUUAUUGCCGUCAACAUUGAAGUCAGAAAUAGUCUAAAUCUUCCAAAAAUCCUCUUUACCAAUUACAACUGUUGACCUCAAAAGCAAUACUAGUGACCACUUAUCAAGCUACUAAGGUAGUGAAAUUUCCCCCCAAGAUUGAGUACUAUAUUUUGUUUUUAAUUUUUUAAAAAUGCAGAUGAUGCUUUUAUGGUUGUUAAUACUACUGCAGGGGAAAUUGUCAUAGGGGAAACCCUAACAUAGAUACCACAAUUCUUUCAAAUUAUAUAGUAAACUUUUUUGGAAAGUAUUUUGUUUUAAUCAACCAAGAUCCAUCUUUCAACCUUUUACCCCAACCCUAACUGAGAACAUAAGAAAAACAAAACAAAAGCCAUUCUAAUAUAACAAUAUCUGCCUCCAAUUCGUAUACCAGUAACACUGAAGGAUCGAGUAUUACAAUUUACUAUAUUUUUUAAAAAUUUCAAAGUAACUUAAAUUUCCAUUUAAUAUUUUUUCUAUUAUGAAAGUUGCUAAAACCUUAAGCCAAUCUGUAUAUUUACAAUUUAUGCUUCUGAAAAAUAAAUGAGUUGAUGUUUUACACUAGUAUUACAUUUAGAUAUCCAUGCAAUGUGGAAUGGAAUUUUGCAUAAGCUCCAUCUACUUGGUGUUCUACUCAAGGGAAUUUAGUUAACUUAUAUAGUCAAAGCCCAUCAAAUGUGAAGCACUAAAUAGACUAGAUUAUGGAUCAUAGAAUGCCCUCAUUUUAUAUAUUAGAAAAUGAUGGCCAAAAGUUUAAAUGACGCAUUACCCAAGGUCACAGAGGUGUAUAACAAGUAGUAGAAUUCAGAUUUAAACUUGGGCUCCAGCCACCUCCGAUUUCAGAUACUGUACUCUUUUACAACAGGCAACCUCUCAGUGUGGCUGCAAUGGGAUAAUAGCUAGCCUUGAUAGGAAAUUAAAAGAUUUGCCAGGCACUUUACAAAUACUUCAUUUUUUCCUCACAAUUCACAAAAGAUACAUUUUAUAGAUGAAGAACCUGAGACAGAAAUUAAGUGACAUAGGACAGAGUCAUACAGCUAAUACUGUGUCACCUAGUUUCCUGCUUUACCAGGCUGCCUCUCAUAAGGAAACUACAAUGGGAUAUAAUAACAAAAGGUGCUGUAGAAAAAUAUUCAGACCCAAAGGCUUGAAAACUUUGAAACAUUUAAAAUAUUAAUAAUUAAUAAUUUAAAAUAUUAAUAAAAUGCAUUCUUUUAUGGCCAACAAAAUACAUGUUCACAAUGUCAUACUUCGCCUAGACUAUUUAAUGGUUUUAUAUUAGACCAGCCAUUCUUAUCCAUUUCAAUUCUCCAUAAGUUAAAUUUUGGAGUCCUCUAGCAAAUUCUAUCAUGGUUGCAUAAUCCAAAGCUAGAUCAGAAACCUCAAAAUCUAAACAAUGUUCAUUAUGGGGAAGGAUAAACUAGUGAUCAUUUUCGAAGGAAAAUAAUCAAUAGGAAAACAUGUCAAUAGAGGAAAGGAAGAAAGGGUUUCUAUGAUAAAAAAAAAAAUGCACCAUCAGCUGCUUCACUGCUAUUUAAGACCUAGGUUCUCUAAAUCAAAGCUACUAAAAAAAAAUAACUUUCUAAUGAGCUAAAAAUAUUGAAGUCCACCCAGAUGUAGGAAAUGCAAUAAGGAUAAAAAGGGCAUAAUAUAUAGGAGUUCACAGCAUCACCAAAAGAAUUGAGAUGGAAAAACUUUGGAAAACAUUUAAAACACUGCCCUUUCUGGCAGUCUGUUGAAACCUCUGGAUAUCCUUUCAGAAUAAUAUUUUUAAGUGAAUAAAAUAAAACACAUAGGAGUACAAAAGAAAUAAAUUAUAUAGGUCAUAAAAUAUUUUUUUAAAAGUUUAUAGAAUCACGUUAAGAAUCCAAUCCAAAAUAAUCUUAUUUCUUAGAUGACAAAAUGAGGGAUGAGAGAGGUUAAAUAACUGUUCAAGGAUAACACACAACAGUAAAGCAGAGAUACCAACAGUAAUUCAAAUCUAGAUCCUUGGAGAUUCUGUCAUAUUCCCCAUUAUAAUAUCCUGCCUCAUUUACACACUAAAUGAAGAAUUUGCUUCAAAAAAAGGAUUUACAUAUAUUAUUUUUAAAAUUUAAGUUAUUUCAAAACUAGAUACAAUAGGAAAUUUUUCUAUCAGGAAUGCACUAGUAAUAUAAAUAUGGAGUUACUUCUGGAAUGCACUAGUAAUAUAAAUAUGGAGUUACUUCUGAGGAUAGGGACUGGAUCUGGGACUUCAUUAAUGUAGGGAACUUCCUGGUUAACUCUAUCAAUGCAAGUAAGCCCUUUUCUGUAAUUUAUGCUUUUAAGAGGUUUGCCUAGUGUGUACAACCUAUGUGAAAUUGCUUGCUUUCUCAAUUGGCCUGAGAGAGAGCACGAGGGGAAGAAGAGAGGAAAAAGAGGGCAGAGUAGAAAGUUGAGACCUUUGAACACAAAAAUUUUAAGAAAUGAAUAUAAAAAAUUUUUUUACAUGUAAAUGGGGGGGAUAAGUUUGUUUGUUUUUAAAAGCGUUUCCUGGAUAAUUGAAAAGUUAAGUUAAAUUGCUCAGGGUUUACAAAUUUAGCAUGUACCAGAGGCAGGAAUUGAACUUGCAUCUUUCUGGCUUUGAAACUAGCUUGUCAUUCAAUAUACCAUUUUUACCUUAGAUUUCUGAGAGUAAAGUAUUAAAAAAAAAAAAAAAAAACUAUACCUAAAACAAUAGUCCCAUUACUGAUAUUU